rnacentral:rRNA from 1 species
UACGGGGGGGGCAAGCGUUGUUCGGAAUUACUGGGCGUAAGGGCUCGUAGGCGGCCAACUAAGUCGGACGUGAAAUCCCCCGGCUUAACCUGGGAACUGCGUCUGAUACUGGAGGGCUUGAGUAUGGGAGAGGGAUGUAGAAUUCCAGGUGUAGCGGUGAAAUGCGUAGAUAUCUGGAGGAAUACCGGUGGCGAAGGCGGCAUCCUGGACCAUUACUGACGCUGAGGCGCGAAAGCUAGGGGAGCAAACGGG